ACGCCCGUCUCGUCCAUCCUUCGUCUCGACUGGCGCUGCUUAACGCUUCAGUCUUGUCGAAUGGUGGGUGAGAUUUGCGU
rnacentral:pre_miRNA from 1 species